UAUAGGAGAGAAAAUGUGUUGAAAAGGUAGGGAAACAAGUUAGGGAAAGUGUGUUUGGGGAGAAAAGGGUGGGGAAGGGAGGUAGAAGUUUUGAGAGAGAAAAGAAUGCAUUGACUGUUGUGAACAAGGGAGUACAGUGCUGUACUUGAAUUUUGUAAUUAAUUAAUGGUAGAAUUUUCUCUGUAUACAAUAUAUUUGUUUUUCAGGUUCAAGUUAUUCCUUGGAGGCAUAUUUUGACCUCCUUACCAUUUUGGGCCAUCUUCAUUGUGCACAUAGCACAAAACUGGGGCUUUUUACACUCUCUUAACUGAGCUGCCUACAUACAUGAAGAACAUUUUGCACUUCAAUAUAGCUCAAACCUUCCCUGAGUCGCCCAGGCUGAGCGGUGAUGGCGGCUGCUCGCUUCCCAUUGGUCGAGACAGCAGAAUGUAAACACUUCUACCUUGCCGGCGCCAAAACUCGUGUUUCUCGGUAUAGUGCUCCUUAUAUACUGAAGCAUUUCACCCAAUACAAUGUCGGUAAGUACUGAUUUGUGUGUCUAGUGUGUAAAUGAAUAGUUUAGCCAUAUUUUGAUAUAUAUAUGAAGGCGUUGUGAAGCAUAUUACGAGUGCACCAUGCAAAUGAAAAAAGUGCAACAAAAUAGGACCAAGCACAGUCGUUCCUGCCCUUUUAGGUGCAGUUUUCAAGUUUCGGUAUAUAAAUAUUUCCAUAAAAUUUGGUAGUGUAUAUAUGAAUUCAGUAAUGGUCUGGGUGUGUACAGAACGUUUUUAUUGUCCUUCCAGAUCAAUAAGAAAUUGUUCUACGGUGAGUCCUCCAAGGAUAAGUCGAAAUUUGUCUGUGUUUGGGAUGACAGUGACUCAGAUCAAGAUCCAGAUGACCUGGAAGUGGUGGAAACUGAUGAUGAAUACUUGCCACAAGAUGCAGAGGUGCCAACAGAUGAGAAGGAAGCUAUGCCACCAUCCAAAAAGAAGAAAUUGAACAAGAAGAAGAUACUUGCUUACAUGCAAGUAUUGCAGCAACAAGAAUAAUCAUGUCGCAUCUUCAUUUUCCUGUGCCACAUGCAAAGUAAAUCUAUCCAUCAAGAAGGAUAGAAAUUGUUUCAUAAAGUUUCAUUGCAGAAAUUAGUGAUGUAAAAGGAUUGUUCUUUCUCAGGGAACUCAAGAAUAUUUCAUUUGUAAGUUGUAUCUCAUUGCAAUGUGUCAUUGUUGAUAAGUAGUUCCUACUUCUAUUUUUUUACUGCUUAUAAAUUGUUCAGAAACAAGUUCCAUUUAUGUUUUUUAUAUUGUCUACUUUUAUAAUAAAUUUAAAAAAUA